rnacentral:rRNA from 1 species
AACAGAUUUACUUCGGUAAUGACGUUAGGAAAGCGAGCGGCGGAUGGGUGAGUAACACGUGGGGAAUCUGCCCCAUAGUCUGGGAUACCACUUGGAAACAGGUGCUAAUACCGGAUAAGGAAGCAGAUCGCAUGAUCAGCUUUUAAAAGGCGGCGUAAGCUGUCGCUAUGGGAUGGCCCCGCGGUGCAUUAGCUAGUUGGUAAGGUAAAGGCUUACCAAGGCGAUGAUGCAUAGCCGAGUUGAGAGACUGAUCGGCCACAUUGGGACUGAGACACGGCCCAAACUCCUACGGGAGGCAGCAGUAGGGAAUCUUCCACAAUGGACGCAAGUCUGAUGGAGCAACGCCGCGUGAGUGAAGAAGGUUUUCGGAUCGUAAAGCUCUGUUGUUGGUGAA